AAAUACGUGAUAGGAGGGUGGAGUCCCGUACAAGGGGAGAGGAAGAACUGGCGGUGCCACUGCAAGCAGCGGUUACAGCAGUCAGCCCAACAGUUGAGACCGUGCACAGAUGCAUGCAAGGAGACUGUGGAAAGAGCAGGAUCUCCUUUCCUUUCCAGAAGGGCACUUAGAUGGAUGAAAGGAGAAUUGCAUACUCUCAGAUUUCAAUCCACUGGUGUUGAAGAAUAGAGAAGCCUACAGAUUCUGAUGAUGGUCCUUCUGGUUGUGCUAUGUGGGAUGCCACCUCAGCAUGGCCUGAUGAGUUGUGCUACGUCUGUGCCGAGGAUCCAAACCAGCGAAACCUUGGGCCACUGAAGUGGAGCAUGCAAACUUAAGCACUUGGCCACAGGGAUUCCAAGUGUAAAGAGAAGCAGAAGCCAAUGGCACUGAAUCAACUGGAACUCCCAAUAGCAGAAUAUGAGAGUUGCCGUUUCUCUACAUCCUUGCCAACACCGACUAUUGGCAAUGGUGUAACUCUAGCCAUUACGAAAGAGAAGGAUGAAGAAGUGGAGGCGGAGAAGAAAAAGAAGAAGAAGAAGCAGGAGCAGCAGGAGGAGGAGGAGAAGGAGAAGAGAAAUGAGAGAAGGAGGAAGAGGAAGAAAAGGAAGAAGAAGAGGGAAGAAAAGGAAGAGGAAGAGGAAUAGAAAGAUGAGCAGAAGGAGGAAGGAGAAAGGAGAAGGAGAAGGAGAAAAAGAGAAGCUUAGGAAAAACCAUGGACUUCAUAAGGGAACGUGGCUGAGAUGAAAAGGACAAUAAGAAUGCUCACCCAGGAAGGACUUUUGGCUCUAGCAUGUCUAUUUCUGUUUGCAUCAAGGCCAGUUGUAUUUCAGUUCCUGCCCUUGGAGCCUGUGAAAAGUCUAUACUGUAACAAUUUACUUACUCCUGCAUUGUGCUUGAAUUAUUUUGGGCGAGUUUCAACUUUUCUGUAACUAAAGCCUUAAGGAAAAUGUAUCCUAAUUACGGGGAGUUGAUAGAGAGAGAUUUAAGAAAUAUGGCUAAAUUUUUGCAUUUGAUGGACUAGAUACUGGGAGGAGGACAAGGGCCAAGUCAAGAUAUAUCCUAAUACGUCAUCCUAGGAAUUUGGGCUAUGGGGAUCAUUGAAAAUUUUUAUGGAACAUGGAAUUUUUAUGAGUAACAUGUUUUGAUAUGCAUUUUAGAGAGUUCACUCUGGAGAAUGGAAUUGGAGCUAGGCAAGACCAGAGGUUGAAAGAGCAAUUAACUGAGGUAAAAUGAAGCUCUAAAGUGAGGCUAAGAACAAAAAGAAGGAAAGAUUUAUCAUAAACAGAACAAAAAGCAAAUAUGUUUCUCAUAUAAAGAGUUCCUAUAGGGGCUGGCCCAGUGGUGUAGUGGCUGGAAUCACAAGCUCUGCUUCAGAAGCCUGGGGUUCGUAGGUUUGGAUCCCAGGUGUGGACCUACACACUGCUCAAGUCUUGCUGUGGCAGCAUCCCACAUACAAAAUAGAGGAAGAUUGGCACAGCUGAUAGCUCAGGGACAAUCUUCCUCUGAAGACAUUCUAUGGGAAACUAUUUGCUUUUUGUUAUAUUUAUGAUAGAUCUUUCAUUCUGUUUGUUUUCUGAAUUUUAUGAUGGUUUUUUUUUGUUUGCCAAAUAACAGCUUUAAGUUUUGAAGUAGUAAAAUUUACCCAUUUCUUCAUUUGUGAUUCCUGAUAUUCUUAACCUUACAAUUAAAUUUAUAGGUUAAUUUUGGAAGAACUGUCAUCUCUAUAGUGUUGAGUCUGUGAACAAAGUAUAUUUCUCUAUUUAUAUAAGUAUUCUUUUAAAUUCCUUAGUUCAAUAAAGUUUUUUAGUUUUCUCCACAAGCCAGCU
rnacentral:lncRNA from 1 species